rnacentral:lncRNA from 1 species
CUCUCUUGCCAAGAAGGAAGAAAACUUCUUCAAUCUUCAAGCUUUCCACUAGCUCAAAUCAUCCAAAUCAAUCACACAAACUAGUUUCCACUCCAUACAAUCUUUCCAUUUAGUGUUAGUGGUGAGUUUGGUGAAGUUUUUGGAAGAGCUAAGGUGGUCUACAACUCCUCUUCUCUUGUUUACUAGGUAAGUGAUGAUUGAACAUCCUCUUAUAGCUAAUGAUGCUUAUUUUGUGCCUAAUGGUGACUUGAGUGAUGGAAUGUGUGAUUUAUUUCUUGAUUUGAAGUGAUUUGGUGAAGUUUUUAUUUUAUUGAGGAAUUUUCUGGUUUUAUAUGAAUGGGAUGUUGUGGCUAUUUUUGAUGAUUGGCAAUGGCUUAUAAUGACUCUAGUAGGUGUGAAUUAUUGAUAAUUGCAAUCAAUUUUGGGUUUGGUUUGAAAUGAGAAAAGUUAGGGUUGAUAACCCCUAAUUCUGUCCGGUUUUGGAUCAUUGGGUUAGAGGCCGAAUUGGACUUUGCUCAAAACAUAAAAGUUGUAGGUAUUGAUGAGUGUGAAGUGCCUAAAAAAUUUCAGGUCAUUUGGAUUAGUGUGGAGUGAGAUAUGUCGAUUUUACUGUUGCUGUUCUGGGUGAUCAGAAUGUGCGAACGGCGAUUGUAAUCGUCUGUUUUGACUGGAAUUGCUUUGGAUUUGGAUGUUGGUGUCUUCUGAUGAAAUGUAGAUUGAUGUCUUAGCUACCGUAUGCCUUUGGAAUCAAUGCAUUUGGACCUGUAUAGACUGAGUUAGACGAAUUACAGCAUUGUGUGAUUUGGGAACCUGCAAUUACGGUUCUGGUUUGGUAUUCUGCAUGUUUGACCUAGUUGUGCUAGGAUUUGGACUGAGUGGCCUUAUACAUUGUUGUAGCCCUGUCUUUUAGCUUCGAUAUGGUGGGUCUUACACCCUCAUCCGAUAAGCGUAGCGCAUUUUGUGCCAUUACCGUAUAAGGGGGCCAAAACUGUUUUUGUUGUUAGGGCUCAUAUAGUUACAUUUCCUAAUUUUCUGGUUUGCUAUAGUUACAUGUUCUGGUUUGUUGUUAUGCCGUCCAUUUAUUUUCUUGGAAAUUGAAUGAGUUAAAGUGGUGUUGAAAUGUAUUUUGUAUCACAUUGGGUGUAUUUCCUUGAGAAUUUCAUUUGGGUCUUUCAAAUAAGGAUUCGAGGGCUAAGUUCUAGUUAAAUUUGUAUAUUUCCGCAAGACAACUAAUGUGACCAUUUUACCAUUCGAAAACGAUAUUUCUUAGUCUAUCAAGUUGGAUUAUCAAUUGUUUUAAGUUAGGUAUUUUCCGUCGGAAACUUAAUAACCUUUUGGAGUUAGUUUUGUACUUAAUGUAUCAACCCUAGUUAUUUCAUCCACUGGCCCUAAUGGACUCCUUUCACUUUAAAGUCACCUUUAUUCGUUUUACUCGCUUUACUCGUAAUUAGCCGAAUUCCUUGAUUUCACUUACUUGUUUUGCUAUAUGCCUUGUAAUAUUCUUUCUCGUUAAAUCUUAGGUUUUCUCGGUGACCGAGGGUAAUAUCUGGAAGAAUAUUUUGCACGUUAUUUUGCGUAAUUAGGUGAGUGUUCCUUGCUUGUUACGUUUCAUGAUUAUAUGGCUUGUUUGAAUGAUUGAUAACAUGUUAAAUGCUUUCAAUGAUUGCUAAACGAGUUUUCGAGGCGAGUGUGUACUUUAUCGCACUUAGCCUAAAUGAUUGUGAAAUUUUAAUGACUGAGCGAUUGAAAUGUUAAUUGUGCAUGAAUGUAAGCCUUUUGGGCUGAACUGGCCAUUGCCCCUUGUUACCGGUCGUCUCGAGCCAGAAGCGGACUCGGUCGGGCGAUUAGGGACUUGGGUGAACGUUUCGGUAUACUCGAGUAUUACCUUGUAGGUUGGUGGAGCCUGGCCAAAAGCCAGGGACGGGGUGAAUGAAAUGAAUGAACGGAUGAAUGAAUGAGGGGUUUUACUUAUACAAAAUGCAUUUGUAAAAUGAUUGAAGGUAGGGGAACGAAAGGAGAAUGAAUGAAUGAACGAAUGAACGAAUGGCUCCUUGUGAGCCCGUAUCCUUUUCAUGAAUGUGUUUAUCGCUUUAUUUGUACUUGUAACUUGAAUUAUUGUUUAUAUGUACUGAAUGCAUUGCUUCUCUUAUUGCCUAUGUGUGCGGAACCUCACUGAGCUUUCCAGCUCAUUCCUUUAAUUUUUGUUUUCCUUAGCAGGGGAAGACGUGCAAGGUCGGAAGCUACGAAUAGACUAGCCGUUCUAGUACUUUUGAUUCUUUUGUUAUGGUUCUCGCCCCAAUAUUUGGUGGGCUGGUUGUAUGGAGAAUGGAGAACCGUUGUACAUAAGUCGUAUUGCUUUUGGGAUGGACAUGUAUAUAAGUUUACGUUUAAGUUUGGAAUUUUGUUAUUUCGAUUGUUUUGUGGGUUUUAUUGUCUUUUCUUAUCGUGACUGACUGAGUCCCGGCGAGAGCUGGGCAGGCGGCCCGCCGAACCCUCUGGUUCGCCUUAGGGGGAGGUGGGGCCGUUACAGUUGGUAUCAGAGCCAUAUGCCGACAGUUGGGACUUUAAGUCCUUCGUCUGGAAAAGCCCCGAGCCUCUCGUUCGUGAAGAGUCAUGAAGCGAAACUCUCCGUAGGGGAUGCCCGCGUGCGGGUGGCAAGCUGAUAGGUACCCUGUAAUGUGACCCUGAGAACUGUUACAGUUGGUAUCAGAGCCUGCUUCGCGUGGUCCCUGCGCGGAGUGAGCCUGGAUUGAGUGGUGAAUAGGUAAUUUUCCUGUGGAAUCUGAGGACCAUAGAUAGGUACGUCUGGGAGGAAUUCCGAUUGUAGAUGGUUUACUCUUGGGACUGGCCAGCUCGAGAGGUGAAUUAUCUUAUUUCGGAUUCUCGUACCCGAGUACUCCAGAGUUGAGGUAGUGCUAAGUAUUUGAGACUUGUAUUGUGGGAACAUGAACAGGCUUUGUUCGACUGGAAUGAGUACAAGAGGUUAAGGGAUAUCUGGUGUGAAUAGUAAGUGACGUGAGGGACCGGACGGGGUUACCUUAGCUAAGACUGGGACGACACAUCACCUCCUCGUUUGAUUCGCCUAUAUAUUCUUAUUGCAUGACGUUAGUUGGUGUAUUUGAGCAUAUGAAUGUUUGCCUGACUUGAUAUGUACUUGUGUAUUUGGUCAUCUAUUUGUGAUAUGUCGAGUGUUAAGUGCAUAUAUGUUUACUUGUGUACUUGGUGCCUCAAUUUUGGUUACUUUUGAGUCACCUUAUUGCAUUUAUUCAUUAAACUACUUUUGGGAAAAAAAAAAAGAGAGAAGGGAAAGCAAUAUAUAUAUAUGGACGGAAGACGUAGUCGUGGACGUGGACGCGGCCAUGGGAAUAAACGAGCCCAAGAGCCAAGAGGGGAAAGGGCAACAACAGCCGCACAAGAACCAGAACCUAGAGUUGAGGCCGGGGAUCAAAUGGCGACGGCAAUUCAACAAAUGGCAAACAUUUUGACAAGGUUGGUGGACCAACAAGGCCCAAUGCCUGUAAAUCAAACCCAGAACCCUGAAAUAGGCGAAGAUCGGGCUCUAGAGAGGUUUCAAAAGUUUAAUCCUCCGAAAUUUCUUGGAGGGCCUGAUCCGGACAUUGCUGAGCAAUGGGUAGAGACCAUGGUGAAUAUAUUCACAGCCUUAAACUACACCGAACAAAGGCAAGUGAACUUCGCAGUGUUUCAAUUUGAGGGACCGGCCCGAGCAUGGUGGAAUGUAAUUCGAGUAAAAUGGGAAAGAGAGCAGACUAUUUGGACCUGGGCGAACUUUACCAGAGAAUUUAAUGAGAAGUAUCUUCCACCUUUAGUCCAAGAAAGGAGGGAGGAGGAGUUUAUUGGGCUUCGCCAGGGAACAUUAAGUGUGGCCGAAUAUGAGACAAAAUUUACUAGGUUAUCCAAGUUUGCUUCUGAACUGGUAGCCACUGAACGACGAAGAGUAAGACGGUUUAUACAGGGACUGAAUUUGGACAUCCAAGAGGCGUUGGCAGCAGCGCAAGUGAAUACUUUUACGGAGGCCCUUGAGAAGGCUCAACGAAUCGAGAGUGCCAAGGCACAAGUAAAGGCCUCCCAAACUCGAAAAAGAGGUGCAUCGGGCAGUGGAUUGGAAGAGUUUAGUGAAACGAUGACGCCUUCUAAAGUGCAAAAGAUGAGCCAGUUAUCCUAUCCGCCAUGGACAAUAGGGGCGUUAAAUGAAAGGUCUACUAAAGGAAGCCACAUCGGACCUGCAGAGAUUUUUCAAGGAAGCCAAAAGAUGGCUUCUCACUUGACUUGUGGCUAUUGUGGAAAGGCCAACCAUACCGAAGAUGCUUGUUGGCGAAAAGGGCAGAAAUGUCUGAUCUGUGGAAGCAGUGAGCAUCAAGUGAGCAAUUGUCCGAGAAGACAUCCACGUGAGGGUAGUACUCAGUCACUGGAUGGAACUAAAUCAAAACCGGUGAAAGAAAAAGGGAACCGAACAAGUCUACCGGCAAAAGCAUAUGCGUUAGACAACCGACCAGUUCCGGACUCGCCUGGUGCUAAUGAAGGUGAGAAAAAAUUUCGAGGACGAAAUUUCCUAAGGGGGAGAGAGUGUGAGAACCCGUAAAUCCCCUAAUAUGUUUCCUAGGGUCUUUCCCCUUAAUUGCAUGUUUUCUGCAUUUUCUGGCUUAGAAAAUUUUCUUGGUGGAUUUUAUGGGUAAUUAUAGUUUUUAGAUGAUUUUUCUAGCAUUGGGUAGUUUUUGAAAAAUUAAGGAUAUAUAAUGGACGUGGGCCCCACUAGUGCGUAAAGUUCGGAAACAUUCGGCCAAUUAGGUUAAGUUUUGGAUACUGGUUGAACUUUAGCGGGUGUUAAGAGAUAAGUAGAGAAUGAGAUAUGAUUGAUGUGAGAGAGAAAAGAAAGGAUAGGAAUGCAUUAAUGGAGUGCCACGUGUCACUUGGUGAUUGGUUUUGACUUAAGAACACUAUUCAUUUUUUUUGACUUUUGACCAAAAUUGGUUAAAUAUCUAAAAAUUUCACAAAAAAAUCACCAUUUUCUUUCACCUUGUGGCCGGCCCUCUCUCUUGCCAAGAAGGAAGAAAACUUCUUCAAUCUUCAAGCUUUCCACUAGCUCAAAUCAUCCAAAUCAAUCACACAAACUAGUUUCCACUCCAUACAAUCUUUCCAUUUAGUGUUAGUGGUGAGUUUGGUGAAGUUUUUGGAAGAGCUAAGGUGGUCUACAACUCCUCUUCUCUUGUUUACUAGGUAAGUGAUGAUUGAACAUCCUCUUAUAGCUAAUGAUGCUUAUUUUGUGCCUAAUGGUGACUUGAGUGAUGGAAUGUGUGA